UACGGAGGGUGCGAGCGUUGUCCGGAAUCAUUGGGCGUAAAGGGCGCGUAGGUGGCCCGGUCAGCGUGCGGUGAAAGCUCGGGGCUCAACCCCGAGUCGGCCGUGCGAACUGCUGGGCUUGAGCACUGUAGAGGCAGGCGGAAUUCCUGGUGUAGCGGUGAAAUGCGUAGAUAUCAGGAGGAACACCAACGGCGAAGGCAGCUUUCUGGACGAUAACUGACUCUGAGGCACGAAGGCCAGGGGAGCGAACGGG
rnacentral:rRNA from 1 species